GUUUUCUAGGUGUUGGGUUAAAACUGCUGGGUUAUUAUGUUGGGUUGUUUGAAGAGGCUCACGUGCUUCGCGCCCUUGAUGUUUGAAUGUGCUCAGCAAUGGUCGUCGUGAAAGGACAGAGUCACUGAAGCAGUUGUUUCAAGAGUGUGCAGAGUUUUAACGUCCAUCCAUUGAUGAGGCUAGCAAGACCUUCAAACAACUUCAGCCAAUUGCAACAAAUGUGGUGGAAUUUCUUCCCUGGACAGAAUCCUCGAAACCCUUUCCUUUCGUCCUGGCCAUGGGAAACAUGCAGCAGAUCUCUCAAUCUUUUUUCUCAAUCAGUCUCUCUGAAUACGGAAGUGACUUAAACUGCAAUUCGGCCAAGAUGGCGACAGCACGCACCGCCUACUUUAAGCUUCAAAAAUGCUCUUCACAAACCAAUGGGUGACAUCACGGACACUACUUGCAUAUUUUUUACAGUCUCUGGUUUAAAGGCAUUUUAAGUGCUUGAAAAUAAAUACCCCAGGCAAUGUGCUUCUAUGGGAAUUCCUGUAGUCUGUCAUUUUUCAAAUGGAUGAAUCCCCUGCUGUUCGAUUCCUUUGUACAUCUUUGUUCGCGACGAGUAACUUUAAUAAAUGAAGUAUUUUUAGUCAAAUACAUUCCAUUCUGUGAAACUUAAAACAUUUGUUCUUUAAAAAAACUUUACACAUCUAUGAAUGAUUUUACUUUUAAUUUAACAAUUACAUUGUUUCUUUUUUACACUGCUGUAGUUUUGUUUAUGUACAUUUCAGUAUUUCAUUUAUAUACUGUAAAAUUACAAAUUCUGUCUUAAAUUCAAACGAAUUGAUUCAACCUGUUACAUUGUUACUUCAAUGUGCAUAUUUUAUGAUAUUUUAUAAAUAUAUUUAUACUUGGGUCAGUAAGCAGUCCUUUAAAUGAUUUUGCAACUUACAACUGUAAAAAUGUAAGAGUUUGUAGUUAUUUUGCAAUCAAAUAAACAUUUAUUUGCUGUUAACAAUGGUCUUGAUUUACAAUAAAGCACAUGAUAAAAAUAACCCAGCAAGAAUAACCCAA